rnacentral:rRNA from 1 species
UCCCAGUUCGGAUUGUAGUCUGCAACCCGGCUACAUGAAGCUGGAAUCGCUAGUAAUCGCGGAUCAGAAUGCCGCGGUGAAUACGUUCCCGGGCCUUGUACACACCGCCCGUCAAGCCAUGGGAGCCGGGGGCGCCUGAAGUCCGGGACCGCGAGGACCGGCCUAGGGCGAAACUGGUGACUGGGGCUAAGUCGUAACAAGGUAGC